GUGAGGAAUUUUGCGCAAUGGCCGCAAGGCUGACGCAGCAACGCCGCGUGGGUGAUGAAGGCCUUCGGGUCGUAAAGCCCUGUCAGGUGGGAAGAAAGGCCUUAAGGAGAAAGACUUGAGGUUUGACGGUACCACCAGAGGAAGCACCGGCUAACUCCGUGCCAGCAGCCGCGGUAAUACGGAGGGUGCGAGCGUUAUUCGGAAUUACUGGGCGUAAAGCGCGUGUAGGCGGGGGGACAAGUCUGAUGUGAAAGCCCUGGGCUUAACCUGGGAAGCGCAUUGGAAACUGUUUUUCUUGAGUACUGGAGAGGAAGGGGGAAUUCCCGGUGUAGAGGUGAAAUUCGUAGAGAUCGGGAGGAAUACCAGUGGCGUAGGCGCCCUUCUGGACGGUAACUGACGCUGAGACGCGAAAGCGUGGGGAGCAAACAGGAUUAGAAACCCCAGUAGUCC
rnacentral:rRNA from 1 species